rnacentral:rRNA from 1 species
AUGCAGCUUAUAUCUGGUGGUCAGAUUGUUGACUCUAGUUGUAGGGUCAUUCUCGACUUUGAUUCAUGUUCUAUUCAGGAUCGUCGCACGGGCGCUCUGCUUGGUGUUGGCCCUCGACCCUCUGAGGUCUCUGGGAGCUUGACUAGCUUCGUCUUCCCUCCGCUGCCACCGCCGUCAGUCUCGCAACCCCUAAGGCUACAUCUACCAGCUCUUUUCAGUAAUGACAUCAUUGUCUUGGUCAUUUAUGUGGUUCUCAUCUCUCGUCUUUGGUUCAUUGUGGUGUUCUGGGGUCUGUCUCGUUGGAUUGUCUGGGUUGUAGGCUUGGCAGAUAUUUCUGGGCUCAUGUUCACCCUUCUUCCUCCUCCGGUAGAUUAUAUACUUCCUUUUCUAUCCUGGUCCUCUAUGCUUCUUGUCUAG